rnacentral:rRNA from 1 species
GUACACUCCUGCGGGAGGCAGCAGUGGGGAAUAUUGGACAAUGGGCGCAAGCCUGAUCCAGCCAUGCCGCGUGAGUGAUGAAGGCCCUAGGGUUGUAAAGCUCUUUUGUGCGGGAAGAUAAUGACGGUACCGCAAGAAUAAGCCCCGGCUAACUUCGUGCCAGCAGCCGCGGUAAUACGAAGGGGGCUAGCGUUGCUCGGAAUCACUGGGCGUAAAGGGUGCGUAGGCGGGUCUUUAAGUCAGGGGUGAAAUCCUGGAGCUCAACUCCAGAACUGCCUUUGAUACUGAAGAUCUUGAGUUCGGGAGAGGUGAGUGGAACUGCGAGUGUAGAGGUGAAAUUCGUAGAUAUUCGCAAGAACACCAGUGGCGAAGGCGGCUCACUGGCCCGAUACUGACGCUGAGGCACGAAAGCGUGGGGAGCAAACAGGAUUAGAAACCCCGGUAGUCCCA